rnacentral:tRNA from 1 species
GGGUAUAUCUCAGUGGUAGAGUGCUUGCCUAGCAUGCACAAGGUCUGGGGUUCAAUCCCCAGUACUGCCA